AGAGUUUGAUCCUGGCUCAGAUUGAACGCUGGCGGCAUGCCUAACACAUGCAAGUCGAACGGGGAGUGUUGAUUUCGGUUGACACUCUUAGUGGCGAACGGGUGAGUAACGCGUUGGUGACCUGCCCCGAAGAGGGGGAUAACAGCUCGAAAGGGCUGCUAAUACCCCAUGUGGUGCUAGAGGUUAGAGGCUUUAGUACAAAAGGAGCAAUCCGCUUCGGGAGGGGCCUGCGUCCCAUCAGCUAGUUGGUAGGGUAAAGGCCUACCAAGGCAAAGACGGGUAGGGGACCUGAGAGGGUGGUCCCCCACACGGGCACUGAGAAACGGGCCCGACUCCUACGGGAGGCAGCAGUAAGGGAUAUUGCACAAUGGGCGCAAGCCUGAUGCAGCAACGCCGCGUGCCCGAUGAAGGCCUUCGGGUCGUAAAGGGCUUUUCUGGCUGAAGAGGAAGGACAGUAAGCCAGGAAUAAGUGUCGGCUAACUACGUGCCAGCAGCCGCGGUAAAACGUAGGACGCAAGCGUUAUCCGGAGUUACUGGGCGUAAAGCGUGGGCAGGCGGAAGCCAAAGUCGGACGUGAAUGCUCUCGGCUCAACCGGGAGAGGCCGUUCGAAACUGGGCAUCUGGAGGGCAGUAGAGGUGCGUGGAAUUCCGGGUGGAGUGGUGAAAUGCGUAGAGAUCCGGAGGAACACCAGAGGCGAAGGCGGCGCACUGGGCUGUACCUGACGCUGAUCCACGAAAGCCAGGGGAGCGAACGGGAUUAGAAACCCCGGUAGUCCUGGCCGUAAACGAUGUCAACUGAGUGUCGGGCCCGCAAGGGUUCGGCGCUGCAGCCAACGCGAUAAGUUGACCGCCUGGGGAGUACGGCCGCAAGGCUAAAACUCAAAGGAAUUGACGG
rnacentral:rRNA from 1 species